rnacentral:tRNA from 1 species
GUCAGCAUAGCAUAGUGGUUUGAGUGUUGGACUAUGACUCUAGAGACCAGGAUUCAAUUCCCAGCUUGGCCA